rnacentral:RNase_P_RNA from 1 species
GGAGUCGGCCAGACAGUCGCUGUAGGCGCUUUAGGGCGCCUAUAGAGGAAAGUCCGGGCUCCAUAGGGUAGGGUGACGGCUAAUGACCGUCCGCCGUGAGGCGAGGAACAGGGCCACAGAGAAUAGACCGCCGAUGGCCACCGGACGCUCGGUGGAUCAGGUAAGGGUGAAAAGGUGCGGUAAGAGCGCACCGCGUUCGCGGUAACGCGAACGGCGAGGCAACCUCCACCCGGAGCAACACCAAAUAGGCAAGCGAUGACGUGACCCACCGAGCUUGCGGGUAGGUGGCUGGAGCGUGCGGGCAACCGCACGUCGAGAGGAAUGACUGUCGCGGCGGCGCAAGCUUCCGACAGAACCCGGCUUAUCGGCCGGCUCCCGCU